AAUCCAUGAUGAUGGCACAUUCUGAGCAUGUCCUUCAUCCUCUCCCAAGCUUCAUAAAAUGGCUUUGAGUUUAUCUAUAGGAAGUAAUAGAUGUCAUUCCUCAUCUU